UACCAGCACCCCGAGUGGUCGGGACGAUUAUUGGGCCUAAAGCAUCCGUAGCCGGCCUUACAAGUCCUCCGUUAAAUUCAGCUGCUUAACAGAUGGGCUGCGGAGGAUACUAUAAGACUAGGAGGCAGGAGAGGCAAGCGGUACUCAGUGGGUAGGGGUAAAAUCCGUUGAUCCAUUGAAGACCACCAGUGGCGAAGGCGGCUUGCCAGAAUGCGCUCGACGGUGAGGGAUGAAAGCUGGGGGAGCAAACCGG
rnacentral:rRNA from 1 species